rnacentral:tRNA from 1 species
UCUUUGGUGGUUCAGUGGUAGAAUUCUCACCUUUCAUAUGGGAGACCUGGGUUUGAUUCCUGGCCAAUGCA